UGUGGGCGGCGCCGCCGCGGCGGCCGAGCACGGCGGCGAGGCCGAGGUCGCCGAUCUUGACCUGGCCCUGGUGGCCGUUGACGAAGAUGUUGUCGCACUUGAGGUCGCGGUGGAUCACCGGCGGGUCGCGCGCGUGGAGGUAGGCGAGGCCGGCGAGCAGCUGCCGCGCCCACGACCGGACGGCGCGGAGGCUGACGCGAGGGUAGCGGAGGCGGUAGGAGCGGAGCGUGCCGGAGGAGAAGAGCUCGGUGAUGAAGUUGAAGCUGCGGCCGGCGACGUCCACCCACGACGCGUGGAAGCCGAUGAUGCCGUCGUGCCGGAGCGAGCUCAGCAGCUGCACCUCCGAGUACAUCCGCUGCACGGCGUCCGGCGACCGGAGCACGUCGGCGAGGCUCGCCU
rnacentral:lncRNA from 1 species